CAACAGGGAUUGCCUCAGUAACGGCGAGUGAAGCGGCAACAGCUCAAAUUUGAAAUCUGGCCCUAGGCCCGAGUUGUAAUUUGCAGAGGAUGCUUUUGGUGCGGUGCCUUCCAAGUUCCCUAGAACGGGACGCCAGAGAGGGUGAGAGCCCCGUACAGUUGGACACCAAGCCUUUGUAAAGCUCCUUCGACGAGUCGAGUAGUUUGGGAAUGCUGCUCAAAAUGGGAGGUAUAUUUCUUCUAAAGCUAAAUACCGGCCAGAGACCGAUAGCGCACAAGUAGAGUGAUCGAAAGAUGAAAAGCACUUUGAAAAGAGGGUUAAACAGCACGUGAAAUUGUUAAAAGGGAAGCGCUUGUGACCAGACUUGCGUCCGGUGAAUCACCCAGCUCUCGCGGCUGGGGCACUUCGCCGGCUCAGGCCAGCAUCAGCUCGCUGUCGGGGACAAAAGCUUCGGGAACGUAGCUCUCUUCGGGGAGUGUUAUAGCCUGUUGCAUAAUACCCUUCGGCGGGCUGAGGUACGCGCUCCGCAAGGAUGCUGGCAUAAUGGUCAUCAGCGACCCGUCUUGAAACACGGACCAAGGAGUCAACCUUAUGUGCGAGUGUUCGGGUGUCAAACCCCUACGCGUAAUGAAAGUGAACGCAGGUGAGAGCUUCGGCGCAUCAUCGACCGAUCCUGAUGUUCUCGGAUGGAUUUGAGUAAGAGCAUAUAGGGUUGGACCCGAAAGAAGGUGAACUAUGCGUGUAUAGGGUGAAGCCAGAGGAAACUCUGGUGGAGGCUCGCAGCGGUUCUGACGUGCAAAUCGAUCGUCAAAUAUGCGCAUGGGGGCGAAAGACUAAUCGA
rnacentral:rRNA from 1 species